UACGGGGGGUGCGAGCGUUGUCCGGAAUCACUGGGCGUAAAGGGCGCGUAGGUGGUUUGAUAAGGGUGUGGUGAAAGUCCGGGGCUCAACCCCGGAUCUGCCGUGCCGACUGUCAAACUCGAGGGCUGUAGAGGCAGACGGAAUUCCGGGUGUAGCGGUGGAAUGCGUAGAGAUCCGGAGGAAGACCGGUGGCGAAGGCGGUCUGCUGGGCAGUUCUGACACUGAGGCGCGGACAGCGUGGGGAGCAAACAGGG
rnacentral:rRNA from 1 species